rnacentral:rRNA from 1 species
GAUGAACGCUGGCGGCGUGCCUAAUACAUGCAAGUCGAGCGAAAAGACGCUGCGCUUGCUCUUCUCACGUUAGCAGCGGACGGGUAAGUAACGCGUGGAUUACCUACCUAUAAGACUGGGAUCACUUCGGGAAACCGGAGCUAAUAACGGAUAAUAUAUUUAACCGCAUGGUUGAAUAGUUAAAGACGGUUUUGCUGUGACCUCUAGAUGUAUCCGCGCCGCAUGAGCUAGUUGGUAAGGUAACGGCUUACCAAGGCAAGGUUGCGUAGCCGACCUGAGACGGGGAUCCGCCACACGGGAGCUGACAGACGGACCAGGCUCGUACGGGAGGCAGCAGUAGGAAAGCUGGCGGAAUGGGGGAAAGCUUGACGGAGGAACGAAGCGUGAGGGAUGAAGGUCGUCGGGGGGUAAACCGCUGUUAUGUUGGAAGAACAAAUGUGUAGGUAACAAGGCUCUUGUGGACGGUACCAAAUCAGAAGGCCACGCUAACCUCCGU